rnacentral:lncRNA from 1 species
AAGUUUGAAAAUACAGGAAUGUUUUCUUUGUUUGCUCAUGCCUUUUCAUACUAUAUCGUAGUUGAACUAAAUUUACUUGUUGUCCUGUUAUUUUGAGAAACGUGAAUUGAUUACAGCUGUUGCAAGCAGUGAACAAUUGUUUAUGCACCUGUGGACUAUUGUUGUCGUGUUGCAAGCAGUGAACUAUUGUUGUCCUGUUGCAAGNNNN